rnacentral:rRNA from 1 species
CAUUAAUGAAUGGCCAUCUGUGGCCUUCGACCCUUCAAAACCGUGGAGGUAGAGUGUGCUUCGGCGCUCCGGCGCCGCCUUUAUGCUGUAGAGUCUGUGUCUGAAUCAAAAACAUAGUCUAAAACUUUCAACAAAGGAUCUCUUGGCUCUCGCAUCGAUGAAGAACGCAGCGAAGCGCGAAAUGUAGUGUGAAUCGCAGAACAUUGUGAAUCAUCGAAUCUUUGAACGCACAUUGCGCCUCCCUUAACCGGGGGGCAUGCCUGUCUGAGCGUCAUUUAAACCUAUGGACCCGAAUGGGUUCCGUGUUGGGCCUCGCUUCUCCAAGCGGCGUCGCCUCGAAGGCAUCGGCUUCACAGAGCGGACGGGAUCCUAAUGGACUGACCGUUUCGUGGCCGGAGUUUGACUCUGACUUGACCUCAGAUCAGGUAGGGACACCG